UACGUAGGGUGCAAGCGUUAAUCGGAAUUACUGGGCGUAAAGCGUGCGCAGGCGGUUGUGCAAGACAGGUGUGAAAUCCCCGGGCUUAACCUGGGAACUGCACUUGUGACUGCACAGCUGGAGGGCUGCAGAGGUCGAUGGAAUUGCCGGUGUAGUGGUGAAAUGCGUAGAGAUCGGCAGGAACACCCAGGGGGAAACCAGUCGACUGGGCAGCACCUGACGCUGAGGUGCGAGAGCGUGGGGAGCGAACCGG
rnacentral:rRNA from 1 species